UCAAACUUGGUCAUUUAGAGGAAGUAAAAGUCGUAACAAGGUCUCCGUUGGUGAACCAGCGGAGGGAUCAUUACAGAGUUAUCAAAAAAACUCCCAACCCUUUGUGAACCGUACCGUCGUUGCCUCGGCGCAGAACCUGGAGCCAUUUUCCGGAGAAGCUACCCUGGAGCUGACUACCCUGUAAGCAGCUACCCUGGAGAGCUACCCGGCACCGCCUGCCAGCCGCGUCAGAGGACCUACCCUAAACUCUUUAUUCUUUUUACCGUGUCUUUCUGAGUGACCGAAAAAAAAAGUUAAAACUUUCAACAACGGAUCUCUUGGUUCUGGCAUCGAUGAAGAACGCAGC
rnacentral:misc_RNA from 1 species